UCGUCCUACGGGAGGCAGCAGUAGGGAAUCUUCCACAAUGGACGAAAGUCUGAUGGAGCAACGCCGCGUGAGUGAAGAAGGGUUUCGGCUCGUAAAGCUCUGUUGGUAGUGAAGAAAGAUAGAGGUAGUAACUGGCCUUUAUUUGACGGUAAUUACUUAGAAAGUCACGGCUAACUACGUGCCAGCAGCCGCGGUAAUACGUAGGUGGCAAGCGUUGUUCGGAAUAACUGGGCGUAAAGGACGCGUAGGCGGUUAAAAAAGGU
rnacentral:rRNA from 1 species